rnacentral:rRNA from 1 species
GGGGGGUGCUAUACAUGCAGUCGAGCGAAUGGAUUAAGAGCUUGCUCUUAUGAAGUUAGCGGCGGACGGGUGAGUAACACGUGGGUAACCUGCCCAUAAGACUGGGAUAACUCCGGGAAACCGGGGCUAAUACCGGAUAACAUUUUGAACUGCAUGGUUCGAAAUUGAAAGGCGGCUUCGGCUGUCACUUAUGGAUGGACCCGCGUCGCAUUAGCUAGUUGGUGAGGUAACGGCUCACCAAGGCAACGAUGCGUACCCGACCUGAGAGGGUGAUCGGCCACACUGGGACUGAGACACGGCCCAGACUCCUACGGGAGGCAGCAGUAGGGAAUCUUCCGCAAUGGACGAAAGUCUGACGGAGCAACGCCGCGUGAGUGAUGAAGGCUUUCGGGUCGUAAAACUCUGUUGUUAGGGAAGAACAAGUGCUAGUUGAAUAAGCUGGCACCUUGACGGUACCUAACCAGAAAGCCACGGCUAACUACGUGCCAGCAGCCGCGGUAAUACGUAGGUGGCAAGCGUUAUCCGGAAUUAUUGGGCGUAAAGCGCGCGCAGGUGGUUUCUUAAGUCUGAUGUGAAAGCCCACGGCUCAACCGUGGAGGGUCAUUGGAAACUGGGAGACUUGAGUGCAAAAGAGGAAAGUGGAAUUCCAUGUGUAGCGGUGAAAUGCGUAGAGAUAUGGAGGAACACCAGUGGCGAAGGCGACUUUCUGGUCUGUAACUGACACUGAGGCGCGAAAGCGUGGGGAGCAAACAGGAUUAUAUACCCUGGUAGUCCACGCCGUAAACGAUGAGUGCUAAGUGUUAGAGGGUUUCCGCCCUUUAGUGCUGAAGUUAGCGCAUUAAGCACUCCGCCUGGGGAGUACGGGCGCAAGGGUGAAACUCAAAGGAAUUGACGGGGGCCC